UAUCUGGUUGAUCCUGCCAGUAGUCAUAUGCUUGUCUCAAAGAUUAAGCCAUGCAUGUCUAAGUAUAAGCACUCGUACUGUGAAACUGCGAAUGGCUCAUUAAAUCAGUUAUCGUUUAUUUGAUGUACCUUA
rnacentral:ncRNA from 1 species